rnacentral:tRNA from 1 species
GCGCGGGUGGUGAAAUUGGCAAACACGCCAGCUUGAGGGGCUGGUGCCCGCAAGGGCUUGGAGGUUCAAGUCCUCUCCCGCGCACCA